rnacentral:tRNA from 1 species
GCCCGGGUGGCGGAAUUGGUAGACGCAGCAGACUCAAAAUCUGCCGUUCGCAAGGAUGUAUCGGUUCGACUCCGAUCUCGGGCACAA